UGUCAAAGAAGGGGAAGAAGUGCUCAUGCGCCGUGCCUCUCUUCAAGGCAGAAGCUAAACAGUUGAAGAACUUGAAGAAGGGGAAACCGUGCUCUUGUGCUGUGCGCUUGUUUAAAAGAGAGGGGAAAGAGGCGAAGAAGGCAAAGAAAGGAAAGGGAGGACCGUGCUGCUGCUCGGCACCUUUGUUUGGGGGGGAAGAUUGGUAAAAAGAUUGUAAGAAACCAUGAGUGAUACGGACAACUGCUGCGUCCGUCUUCUCCGGCGCUUCGGGUGCCUGAAGAAGAUUGAGGAGCCAUGUACUUGCACCAGGGCCUUGAUCGAGGGGCUCCAGGGGAACGCCGGCCCGGUCGAAAGUAACGCUAGCAAGGGGAGUAAGAAAUAAACUGAUUUGAGAGAUUCACGAUGAAGUUCCUCUACCAACUUCUAUUCCUGCUCCUGCACAUCCUCGCCUGUUCCGCCGGCAGCGCUCUCGGCUGCCGCACCCGCCUCACCAGCCGACGCAGCCAGACUAGAAGACCACGGGUCACUUUCUCUAACACCAGUAUGAUGAACAAGGCUUCUGGUAACCAUCACAGGAAGACGACGCUAUUGAAUCCACCCGCCUACGCAGCUCUUCGCGGUCGACCGACCAGACAAUGUACACGUAUUGAUGUACCUCUCGAGUGCCCGAAUUGGAGGAAACGGUGAACCCAAAACAUCUACAUAGUAUGAAGAUCCUCUACCAACUGCUUUUCGUCAUUAUGAACAUCCUAGCAUGUUCGGUCGGUCGCUCGCUCGGCUGUUGCUCCAAAGUCCACAGCCCUGCCCCGCCGCAAAGAAGUCACCACAGAUCGCAUCAUGCUAUCCGAAAUCAGUCCAUAUUUUCAGACCCGGAGCAUCCGACCUCUCCUUGCAGCCCUGAGUUUCCGUACCAACAUCCGCUGGCGAAGGUCAAAGUCAUACAUAAUCAGUCUCGCGACGGCACCAACCGCGUGGGACCAUUAUAGCACGCUUUACCCUGCACCCCUGUGAAGACUCAACACACACUUAUGUUUUAGGACUUUCAAGCGGUUUUCUUUUUUUUAAGUUAUUUUUCUACAGUUUAUAGUCGGCGUAAUGUAAAAACUCAUAUUUUGAAACUAUAUUGAUCCUUUAUUAAAUAAAUUUUAUAAAGAUAACCCGUUCAUUGCCGAAAAUGCGAAUUCGCGUCACAAAUGUAAUGCCGAAUGCGGACUUCGGCAAUGAAUGGGUUAAAAGUAACCGUCAAAUCAUAAAAUGUCAAAUGUGUGUUUUUACAUUGUGCUGACUGUAAUAUUAUUUCAAAUACUUUUGGGA